CUCUCAGCUGGUGUCCUCUCCUUUUAAAAUGACUUCUACCUCUUUACUUGUCCUUCAAAAGGGUUCUGCACUCUUCCAUAAAAAAAAAUUAUACGUAUGAUAAAAUAGUUCUUAUUCAAUAAGCAGUUUGUAAUAGGAUAUUUCUGUCACUUUAUAUUAUUACAGGCCGCAAAAGAGUGAAUUCAGAAACAGUGAGCACACAACCUGGUCUUCACGGUCUGGCAUCCAUCUGAUGAACUGGAGGACUCUACCCCUUUUUAUGCUUUACUAUCAUGAGAGGAAUAUAACACAGCCCAGGAAGAAUUAAUGCAUUCUCCACCCCUUCCAUACAACGUGACAGCUUGCUAUUUAUAGCCAAAUGCACUGAGCAUUAAACCUGCUCACCUGUUUCUUAGAGUAACUGGUGUAUUUAAUCCAAUCUGGUUGAUUCGCUAAAAUGAGAAUCGUCAGGAAUUCAAAGUGAAUUUUAAAUUUUAGAUCACAUUAACCAAACUGGAAAAAUGCAAACUAUGUUUUCAAGUCAGCUGUUUUGGACUCAAAUAUCGCAUUUACUAUGAAUCUGCCAAUUCAUACUUUAGUGACUAGCCCCAUAUCUGCAAACGUGUACCUGUCAUGGUACACAAAAUGUAUAUUCAUUUUGAAGAGUGUAGC